GGACUCGAAGGCAUGGACUGCAGGCCAUCCCAGGGGUGGAUCUACACAUCUGGAAGCAAACGCGGAGCGCAAUGCUUCAACGUCGGCUUUUAUGGCUUCCUUGUUAGGGGAGAAGGUGGAAUUAGAAUGGAAUUAGAGGGACCCGCUUCUAUUGGAUCUGCGUAAGGCAUUGCAGCUGUAAAGUGAGAGAGCUUAAUAACUUCAAUAGCAAAGUAAGUUGGGUUACGGCGUUCGAGAUAAAAUGAGCAUAAGAAUACUCGUCGGUGGAACUAUCAGGGUGGAGAGAUGUUGGGUUCAUGAUUUGAACCGGGCUUCGCAGAAAAUGGGCAGCUCUAGGCACCAAGGCGAAUAGCUCGUAUUUUGAGGGUCAGUUUUGUGAGAGCUUGCUUUCCCUUGGAGCAUACAAGCUAUUAGGAGAUUUUAGCGUGGGCUUCUCCAGAGCCAAGUUCCCAGCAAAAAUUUAUGCGGUCCCUUUUUGAGGCCUUGAUUACUG
rnacentral:sRNA from 1 species